CGCUAAAAUUAUAAGACAAAACCACGCACAUUGUUGUUGUUGCUGUCAUUCUUUUUUUUGAUCUUUUUAAAUCAUGACCAACUUGAAUAUUGAGGUUAUGUUAAAAUGUUGUCAUAUGUGUAACAUGCAGGGAAAUUAAAUAUGCCUCUCAAGUGUGAAGAGAAACCUAUACAAAUUGUUGUCAACUUCAGACAAAUAUUUUUUAUAAAUAAUAUUUCGUGAGUAAUGUACGCACAUGCUUUAUUUUUUUGCUUUAUAUGAUAAUUGUUGAAAAAUAUCUUGGUAUAAAAAAUAAACAUGAGUAUGUAAAAAGCCGGCAACUAUGUGGCGCUGCUAAUAAUGUAAAUUACCGACACACCACCCAUACAUUAUCUUACAAAAUUUCAAUUUUAUUAGUGUUUGUUGGGGAUUACGUUUAAUCCUAAGGAGAACAUACAUAAUACAUACAUAUUUACAUAUGUAGGUGGUAACUUGAAAACAUUUUCUUUAAAAAUGCAGUGAUUUAAUUUCGCCAAUGUAUAUACAUACAUAUGUACAUACGUACAUCAUAUAUAUUAAAAAAGACACACGAAAUUUCAAAAUUAAAUAUACUUAAAAUGCAGCAUAAAACGUGUUAGAAAUGUAUGCAUAAUGUGAAUUUUUUCCAAUCGUGCCACCUUUGUUAGGCGUUAUGAACAUUUAUAGUAUGUACAGAACUUGUUUUUUCAUCUUGGCAAAAUUUUAUUUAUUACUAACCUAUGCCGAACAAAUUCACCCGCGGCUAUAGCCGGCUAAAAAAUUUGAUCAAAGGUUAGUUGGUAGUAUACUAGCGUAUAAGUCUGGAAGUUGGUUUGAUUUCCACCAGAGAUCCUGGUCUGCUUCAUUGCAACGGACAUCGUCACCCUGCUCCCUCAUCAUAAACCGGUCCUGGAAUAGUAGAUUGGAUUGCAAAGUAUCAAAGGCCCUAUGGCCAAAACUUCAUAUGGGGGCUACAAAAAUACUAAUAAGACUGGACAAACGCAAUCUAAGGAUUCUGAUAGGGAUUCUAUUCCUUGAAAUGGCUAGGGAAUAUGCUCCAUGGCGAAAUUGGGAUAUUGCUGGUUUUUGUAAAACAAGAAUUUAGUAUAAAUAUAAAAAUUUAAAAAAAUGGACAACAAACUAUUAAUCUUAAUAAAUAUACUGAUGAAAAUCGAA